rnacentral:piRNA from 1 species
UNGCCUAGGCUGGCCUUGACUUCUCUGUG